rnacentral:rRNA from 1 species
AUACGGAGGGUGCGAGCGUUGUUCGGAAUUAUUGGGCGUAAAGCGCGAGUAGGCGGUUUGCCAAGUCACGUGUGAAAGCUUCCGGCUCAACCGGAAAAGUGCGCGUGAAACUGGUAGACUUGAGUCCUGGAGAGGGUGGCGGAAUUCCCGGUGUAGAGGUGAAAUUCGUAGAUAUCGGGAGGAACACCAGAGGCGAAGGCGGCCACCUGGAAAGUGACUGACGCUGAGAAGCGAAAGCGUGGGGAGCAAACAGGAUUAGAAACCCUAGUAGUCC